rnacentral:rRNA from 1 species
UACGGGGGGGGCAAGCGUUGUUCGGAAUUACUGGGCGUAAAGCGUACGCAGGCGGCUUUGCAAGACAGGUGUGAAAUCCCCGGGCCUAACCUGGGAACUGCAUUUGUGACUGUAUGGCUAGAGUUUGUCAGAGGGGGGUGGAAUUCCACGUGUAGCAGUGAAAUGCGUAGAUAUGUGGAGGAACACCGAUGGCGAAGGCAGCCCCCUGGGAUGUGACUGACGCUCAUGUACGAAAGCGUGGGGAGCAAACAGG